rnacentral:lncRNA from 1 species
AAAUAACUUCAAUUAAAUGUCAUCCCUUAUCUACAUGCAAGACAAACAUGAGACAGCACACUAAUUUUACACACAUUACUCUUUAUGUAACUGGAAAUGAGUCACAAAUGUACAUAUAUAGAAGGGAUACAUGUAGAACUUCCUCUACUUUAAAUGCCUCUUUGAAUUUUUUCACUGCUCAUGCUAAAUGAUUUCUGUCAAUAUUUUAAUUUCAGUUGGGAAGGGUGGAAUCAAAGAGUGACAUUUGGGAAAAUUAUUGUCAGCAAACUGAUGACUACAUACCAUAAUUAAAAAAUAAUGUAAAGAAGGAAGAAACUUGAUACAAAUGCUGUUACAUUUCUGUGAAUUUACUACUAAAAUAUCAAGAAGACAUAUUCAGAAAUAAACAUAAUAUUCAUCAAUGUAUACUAUCAUAAGAUGCAUUAUAUACAUAAAUGAUCAUUUCUGUAAUCAUAAGAAUAUUAAUGCAGCAGCUAAUAAAUAAAAUAAGCACCAAAGGACAAGAAUAUGACCUUAAAAUCCUUACUCAGCUGCCCUAUUAACUUUCUGAACACCACUGAAGGUGUGUGUCAGCUGCUUAAAUUAAAGGGAGAGUAAUUAAAAUUACACAAAUAAUAGGUGACUGGGGUCAGUCUCCAUCACCCUAUCUCCUAUAUUUCAGAGCAUUUUACAUUUUUUCCAUCAAUAUGCAAUCUUAAUUUUCUCUGCACAUCUCUCAAGUGCUCUUGGUCUAAAAACAACUUACCAUAAGAAGCAUAGCUGUUAACUGAUGUUCAGACCACAAGUUUUGGGGCUAUACUCAAAUCUCUUCCCAUGGUGUAUCAGAUCCUUCUUGUGUUGUUCUACAUCUCUACAAAUCUGGUUUCUGGAACAAGACAUGGUAUUUCCAGAGAGGUCAUUGGCUCACCUUAAAGGCAGUGGACAUUCCUGCUUACAGACCUGUUUUUCUUCACCAAGUGUAAAGUGGGACCUUUUGGCUCAGUUUGUGAUAGAAGUUUGGACAACAAGGAAGUAGAUACACGGUUGUGAAGAAAGAGCCCCUGGACUGAUGAGACAGAAUAUUCACC